AAAAACAAUAUACUUUCAAUAUAAGCCUUUUCACCUGUUUGAUUCAACAAAUUGAAUACAUCCUCAUAAACUGGUUAAAUAAUAAGAUCAAGGUCUGUUCAAAAUUUAUACUGAACAUUACAACCACUAUCACUAGCAAGUACCAAUAUGAUCUCUUGAACAUUACAACCACUAUCACUAGCAAGUACCAAUAUGAUCUCUUGCAAAAAAAAUAUUUAUUUCAAGCAUACAGCGAAGAAACAUAACGCCAGCAAUGGUGAGAACUUGGUAGCUAUCGGUUAC
rnacentral:lncRNA from 1 species